CUGAAAGUUACUUAACUCCUCUGUUAAUUGGCCAUUGUCAAAUUCAGGUAAAUACUGUACAGUGUAAGCAGGGUAACAGUCUCUUAAGAGCUCUCAACACAUAGAAGAUCUACACCUUUAUCAGUUGGAGUGAAGAACUAAAGAAGAAAUUCAAGCCACUAUUCAGAACAAUGAAUACUUUGCAGAAAAAGACUGAGGUUUAAUAUUUAGGAAGGAUUUCUACUCACUGACUGAAGUUCUUUUCUUCCAUAAAAGGUGGAGCAGUAUAUAUUAAUGCUGAAUAUCUAUUUAUCAAAUGUAGCUGAAAUUAUAACCUAAUAUCAUUUGUGACUCAAGAGUUUUGAAUGAGAUUGACUCCACCCCACAGCAACAAAAGUUUAGCUCUGAAUCAGGUGCUGUAUGUACUUGGUUCCUACCCACCAAUCUGCAAGGAGAUCAUGGCAUAAACUGACUUUAAGGUUACUGAAGUAAAAAGGGUACUAGACUACUAGACUAGACUGGCAUUUACAAUAACCAGCUACGAUUCUGGCAUUGUGCAUCACUAGCUUUAAAUAGAAGAUCUACUGCAUACUCCUAAAGUCUGAGACCACUCAAUAUGUCAUUUUGCACAUCUCUCAAAAACAAAACAGAACAUAAAUAAAACUUGUCCCUUUAACAAAAAAGACGAAGUUGGAAGG